rnacentral:misc_RNA from 1 species
GUGGCUUUGUUCGUGUUCGGAGGUUCACCACUUCCACCAAAAUGGAAGGUUUUGGCGAUCCAGAAAUUGCCAUAGAUGAAGCCAUGCAACACUUCCAAAGGAAGCAAGACAAUGCCUCAACUCGUGAUGGCUUGAUCUCUCCCUCUCCUCUGGCCUUAACCCUAAGAGAAGCUAUUGCUUUAGCAUCAAACACAAAUCUCCUAGUAAUAUAGUUAGCUUCAGUGAACCACAAUCUCUCCAUUAGCGAUAAAUGCUCUUCUGGAAAUGGAUUUUUUGGUGGAAAGAAAAUCGAUGCCUCGGUGAAAUUAGGUUUUACAACCUCACUGCUGAGAGUUCCACGGGCUACAGCAGCCCAUGAAUGGAGAAAAGCAGCACCACUUGGUCCGUCAACGAGCUUGUGAGAUGCAACACAGCCUAAGGCUAUCCCACCACAAGAAAAAACGUUCACUUGAUAAGCUACUUGCGGCACACCCAUGUCCUCCUCGGUGAAAGGCUGGUAUGGAAGGAAUCGAUUCAAGAAUUGGAUUUCUGGGUAUUUAAGAAUAUCAGAUAGUCUUCCACUUACAUGGGCUACAAAGAAAGGAACACCUUCAUUGAAACGAUCUAUAUAGAGGUUAUCAACUAACCUUCCA